GGGCAGGUGCCCGAGUGGCUAAAGGGGCCAGACUGUAAAUCUGGUGGUUCUACCUACGGGGGUUCGAAUCCCUCCCUGCCCACUA
rnacentral:tRNA from 1 species